CGAACGCUGGCGGCGUGCUUAACACAUGCACGUCGAACGGAAAGGCCCUGCUUUUGUGGGGUGCUCGAGUGGCGAACGGGUGAGUAACACGUGAGUAACCUGCCCUUGACUUUGGGAUAACUUCAGGAAACUGGGGCUAAUACCGGAUAGGAGCGCCUGCUGCAUGGUGGGGGUUGGAAAGUUUCGGCGGUUGGGGAUGGACUCGCGGCUUAUCAGCUUGUUGGUGGGGUAGUGGCUUACCAAGGCUUUGACGGGUAGCCGGCCUGAGAGGGUGACCGGCCACAUUGGGACUGAGAUACGGCCCAGACUCCUACGGGAGGCAGCAGUGGGGAAUAUUGCACAAUGGGCGGAAGCCUGAUGCAGCAACGCCGCGUGCGGGAUGACGGCCUUCGGGUUGUAAACCGCUUUCGCCUGUGACGAAGCGUGAGUGACGGUAAUGGGUAAAGAAGCACCGGCUAACUACGUG
rnacentral:rRNA from 1 species